rnacentral:rRNA from 1 species
UGGGGAAUCUUCCGCAAUGGACGAAAGUCUGACGGAGCAACGCCGCGUGUAUGAUGAAGGUCUUCGGAUUGUAAAGUACUGUCAUUGGGGAAGAACGGUUUUCUUGAAAAGAUUGAGAAGACAUGACGGUACCCAAGGAGGAAGCCCCGGCUAACUACGUGCCAGCAGCCGCGGUAAUACGUAGGGGGCAAGCGUUGUCCGGAAUUAUUGGGCGUAAAGGGCGCGUAGGCGGGCCUUUAAGUCCGGUGUGAAAGAUCAGGGCUCAACCCUGAGAGUGCAUCGGAAACUGGAGGCCUUGAGGACAGGAGAGGAAAGUGGAAUUCCACGUGUAGCGGUGAAAUGCGUAGAUAUGUGGAGGAACACCAGUGGCGAAGGCGACUUUCUGGACUGUAACUGACGCUGAGGCGCGAAAGCGUGGGGAGCAAACAGGAUUAGAUACCCUGGUAGUCCACGCCGUAAACGAUGAGUGCUAGGUGUAGAGGGUAUCGACCCCUUCUGUGCCGCAGUUAACACAAUAAGCACUCCGCCUGGGGAGUACGGCCGCAAGGUUGAAACUUAAAUGAAUUGACGGGGGUCAUAGCUG